rnacentral:lncRNA from 13 species
CUGUCCUCAGGAAACACCAAAUUGCCACAAGAUACAGCAGUUCUACUCCUGGGAAUCCGCCCAAGAAAAUGGUACAAGGUAAGAAAAUCUGUGUCCACACAAAGGUCAUCUGUGGAUGUUCGUAGAAGCGUUGUUCACAAUGACGAAAAAGUGGAGACAACUCAAAUGUCUGUCAGUGGAUAAAUGCAUAAGUGACUGUGGUCAAGUUCUACAACCGAAUAUGAUUUAGAAACAAAGGAAUGAAGCAGGACACAUGCUGUAACCUGGGAGAGAGCGAACAACUGUGUCACAUGCUGCUGGGGGGUCCAGGAUGGAUGAGGACUUUGAAGUGACCAUGGGAUGGAGCCACAUGCAGGACAGGGGAGCUGAUACUCACAUGCUCCCAGGAGAGCAGCUUGGAAAAACCUUGGCGCAGACCAAGUGUGGUAGAAAUGUCAGAUCUGCCGCUGAAGACCACGGAGGAAGGGAGCAAAGACCUAGAGAAGCAGGCCUCCAAGACCGAAGUGAGAAAAACCCGUCUAGAAAGUGCAUUCUGCCAAAGAGCCCAGAAGACGCUCUGUUUACCAAACCCAUAAGACAUAAUGUGGGUGACAAUUUCAGGGUGGGAGCUGGCCUCUGAAGAUCAGGGCUAAUGAUGGAAGAU